rnacentral:rRNA from 2 species
AGAGUUUGAUCCUGGCUCAGAUUGAACGCUGGCGGCAUGCUUUACACAUGCAAGUCGGACGGCAGCACAGAGAAGCUUGCUUCUUGGGUGGCGAGUGGCGAACGGGUGAGUAAUAUAUCGGAACGUACCGAGUAAUGGGGGAUAACUAAUCGAAAGAUUAGCUAAUACCGCAUAUUCUCUGAGGAGGAAAGCAGGGGACCUUCGGGCCUUGCGUUAUUCGAGCGGCCGAUAUCUGAUUAGUUAGUUGGUGGGGUAAAGGCCUACCAAGGCGACGAUCAGUAGCGGGUCUGAGAGGAUGAUCCGCCACACUGGGACUGAGACACGGCCCAGACUCCUACGGGAGGCAGCAGUGGGGAAUUUUGGACAAUGGGCGCAAGCCUGAUCCAGCCAUGCCGCGUGUCUGAAGAAGGCCUUCGGGUUGUAAAGGACUUUUGUCAGGGAAGAAAAGGCUGUUGCUAAUAUCGACAGCUGAUGACGGUACCUGAAGAAUAAGCACCGGCUAACUACGUGCCAGCAGCCGCGGUAAUACGUAGGGUGCGAGCGUUAAUCGGAAUUACUGGGCGUAAAGCGAGCGCAGACGGUUACUUAAGCAGGAUGUGAAAUCCCCGGGCUCAACCCGGGAACUGCGUUCUGAACUGGGUAACUAGAGUGUGUCAGAGGGAGGUAGAAUUCCACGUGUAGCAGUGAAAUGCGUAGAGAUGUGGAGGAAUACCGAUGGCGAAGGCAGCCUCCUGGGAUAACACUGACGUUCAUGCUCGAAAGCGUGGGUAGCAAACAGGAUUAGAUACCCUGGUAGUCCACGCCCUAAACGAUGUCAAUUAGCUGUUGGGCAACUUGAUUGCUUAGUAGCGUAGCUAACGCGUGAAAUUGACCGCCUGGGGAGUACGGUCGCAAGAUUAAAACUCAAAGGAAUUGACGGGGACCCGCACAAGCGGUGGAUGAUGUGGAUUAAUUCGAUGCAACGCGAAGAACCUUACCUGGUCUUGACAUGUACGGAAUCCUCCAGAGACGGAGGAGUGCCUUCGGGAGCCGUAACACAGGUGCUGCAUGGCUGUCGUCAGCUCGUGUCGUGAGAUGUUGGGUUAAGUCCCGCAACGAGCGCAACCCUUGUCAUUAGUUGCCAUCAUUUAGUUGGGCACUCUAAUGAGACUGCCGGUGACAAGCCGGAGGAAGGUGGGGAUGACGUCAAGUCCUCAUGGCCCUUAUGACCAGGGCUUCACACGUCAUACAAUGGUCGGUACAGAGGGUAGCCAAGCCGCGAGGUGGAGCCAAUCUCACAAAACCGAUCGUAGUCCGGAUUGCACUCUGCAACUCGAGUGCAUGAAGUCGGAAUCGCUAGUAAUCGCAGGUCAGCAUACUGCGGUGAAUACGUUCCCGGGUCUUGUACACACCGCCCGUCACACCAUGGGAGUGGGGGAUACCAGAAGUAGGUAGGGUAACCGCAAGGAGUCCGCUUACCACGGUAUGCUUCAUGACUGGGGUGAAGUCGUAACAAGGUAGCCGUAGGGGAACCUGCGGCUGGAUCACCU